CCUACGGGAGGCUGCAGUGAGGAAUAUUGGUCAAUGGACGAGAGUCUGAACCAGCCAAGUAGCGUGAAGGAUGACUGCCCUAUGGGUUGUAAACUUCUUUUAUAUGGGAAUAAAAUGUUCCACGUGUGGGAUUUUGUAUGUACCAUAUGAAUACGGAUCGGCUAACUCCGUGCCAGCAGCCGCGGUAAUACGGAGGAUCCGAGCGUUAUCCGGAUUUAUUGGGUUUAAAGGGAGCGUAGGUGUAUUGGUAAGUCAGUUGUGAAAGUUUGCGGCUCAACCGUAAAAUUGCAGUUGAAACUGGCAGUCUGGAGGACAGUAGAGGUGGGCGGAAUUCGUGGUGUAGCGGUGAAAUGCUUAGAUAUCACGAAGAACUCCGAUUGCGAAGGCAGCUCACUGGACUGCAACUGACACUGAGGCUCGAAAGUGUGGGUAUCAAACAGGAUUAGAUACCCCAGUAGUC
rnacentral:rRNA from 1 species